UGACUUGAAGAUGAGGAUGUUAACUCUAAUUUAUUUUAUGUUUCAGUCACAUAUUAAAAAAAAAGAGGAACAAAAUUGAGAAGAUCCAGUACAAGAGAGAUGAAUCAGUUAGUGGGUGGCUCUUUCUGCCAACUUAAAAUGAAACCAAUAUUAAUAUAAUUCCAAAAACAGAUAAUUUGGCAUCCUUGAAAUAGUGUUGCUUUAUUUUUCUAUGUAAUGUGUUGUAUUAUGUGAUAUUAAAGUCCUUGCCAACUUUAUUAAAAAAAG
rnacentral:lncRNA from 1 species